rnacentral:rRNA from 1 species
GGGUUGUGAGGUUAAGCGACUAAGCGUACACGGUGGAUGCCCUGGCAGUCAGAGGCGAUGAAGGACGUGCUAAUCUGCGAAAAGCGUCGGUAAGGUGAUAUGAACCGUUAUAACCGGCGAUGUCCGAAUGGGGAAACCCAGUGCAAUUCGUUGCACUAUCGUUAACUGAAUACAUAGGUUAACGAGGCGAACCGGGGGAACUGAAACAUCUAAGUACCCCGAGGAAAAGAAAUCAACCGAGAUUCCCCCAGUAGCGGCGAGCGAACGGGGAGCAGCCCAGAGUCUGAAUCAGCUUGUGUGUUAGUGGAACGGUCUGGAAAGUCCGACGGUACAGGGUGAUAGUCCCGUACACCAAAAUGCACAGGUUGUGAACUCGAAGAGUAGGGCGGGACACGUGGUAUCCUGUCUGAAUAUGGGGGGACCAUCCUCCAAGGCUAAAUACUCCUGACUGACCGAUAGUGAACCAGUACCGUGAGGGAAAGGCGAAAAGAACCCCGGCGAGGGGAGUGAAAAAGAACCUGAAACCGUGUACGUACAAGCAGUGGGAGCACCUUCGGGUGUGACUGCGUACCUUUUGUAUAAUGGGUCAGCGACUUAUAUUCUGUAGCAAGGUUAACCGUAUAGGGGAGCCGCAGGGAAACCGAGUCUUAACUGGGCGUUAAGUUGCAGGGUAUAGACCCGAAACCCGGUGAUCUAGCCAUGGGCAGGUUGAAGGUUGGGUAACACUAACUGGAGGACCGAACCGACUAAUGUUGAAAAAUUAGCGGAUGACUUGUGGCUGGGGGUGAAAGGCCAAUCAAACCGGGAGAUAGCUGGUUCUCCCCGAAAGCUAUUUAGGUAGCGCCUCGUGAAUUCAUCUUCGGGGGUAGAGCACUGUUUCGGCUAGGGGGUCAUCCCGACUUACCAACCCGAUGCAAACUACGAAUACCGAAGAAUGUUAUCACGGGAGACACACGGCGGGUGCUAACGUCCGUCGUGAAGAGGGAAACAACCCAGACCGCCAGCUAAGGUCCCAAAGUCAUGGUUAAGUGGGAAACGAUGUGGGAAGGCACAGACAGCCAGGAUGUUGGCUUAGAAGCAGCCAUCAUUUAAAGAAAGCGUAAUAGCUCACUGGUCGAGUCGGCCUGCGCGGAAGAUGUAACGGGGCUAAACCAUGCACCGAAGCUGCGGCAGCGACACUAUGUGUUGUUGGGUAGGGGAGCGUUCUGUAAGCCUGCGAAGGUGUGCUGUGAGGCAUGCUGGAGGUAUCAGAAGUGCGAAUGCUGACAUAAGUAACGAUAAAGCGGGUGAAAAGCCCGCUCGCCGGAAGACCAAGGGUUCCUGUCCAACGUUAAUCGGGGCAGGGUGAGUCGACCCCUAAGGCGAGGCCGAAAGGCGUAGUCGAUGGGAAACAGGUUAAUAUUCCUGUACUUGGUGUUACUGCGAAGGGGGGACGGAGAAGGCUAUGUUAGCCGGGCGACGGUUGUCCCGGUUUAAGCAUGUAGGCUGGUUGUCCAGGCAAAUCCGGAUAAUCAAGGCUGAGGUGUGAUGACGAGGCACUACGGUGCUGAAGUAACAAAUGCCCUGCUUCCAGGAAAAGCCUCUAAGCAUCAGGUAACAUCAAAUCGUACCCCAAACCGACACAGGUGGUCAGGUAGAGAAUACCAAGGCGCUUGAGAGAACUCGGGUGAAGGAACUAGGCAAAAUGGUGCCGUAACUUCGGGAGAAGGCACGCUGGUGUGUAGGUGAAGCCCCUGCGGGUGGAGCUGAGACCAGUCGAAGAUACCAGCUGGCUGCAACUGUUUAUUAAAAACACAGCACUGUGCAAACACGAAAGUGGACGUAUACGGUGUGACGCCUGCCCGGUGCCGGAAGGUUAAUUGAUGGGGUUAUCCGUAAGGAGAAGCUCUUGAUCGAAGCCCCGGUAAACGGCGGCCGUAACUAUAACGGUCCUAAGGUAGCGAAAUUCCUUGUCGGGUAAGUUCCGACCUGCACGAAUGGCGUAAUGAUGGCCAGGCUGUCUCCACCCGAGACUCAGUGAAAUUGAACUCGCUGUGAAGAUGCAGUGUACCCGCGGCAAGACGGAAAGACCCCGUGAACCUUUACUAUAGCUUGACACUGAACAUUGAGCCUUGAUGUGUAGGAUAGGUGGGAGGCUUUGAAGCGUGGACGCCAGUCUGCGUGGAGCCAACCUUGAAAUACCACCCUUUAAUGUUUGAUGUUCUAACGUUGGCCCCUUACCGGGGUUGCGGACAGUGUCUGGUGGGUAGUUUGACUGGGGCGGUCUCCUCCCAAAGCGUAACGGAGGAGCACGAAGGUUAGCUAAUCCUGGUCGGACAUCAGGAGGUUAGUGCAAUGGCAUAAGCUAGCUUGACUGCGAGCGUGACGGCGCGAGCAGGUGCGAAAGCAGGUCAUAGUGAUCCGGUGGUUCUGAAUGGAAGGGCCAUCGCUCAACGGAUAAAAGGUACUCCGGGGAUAACAGGCUGAUACCGCCCAAGAGUUCAUAUCGACGGCGGUGUUUGGCACCUCGAUGUCGGCUCAUCACAUCCUGGGGCUGAAGUAGGUCCCAAGGGUAUGGCUGUUCGCCAUUUAAAGUGGUACGCGAGCUGGGUUUAGAACGUCGUGAGACAGUUCGGUCCCUAUCUGCCGUGGGCGCUGGAGAAUUGAGGGGGGCUGCUCCUAGUACGAGAGGACCGGAGUGGACGCAUCACUGGUGUUCGGGUUGUCAUGCCAAUGGCACUGCCCGGUAGCUAAAUGCGGAAGAGAUAAGUGCUGAAAGCAUCUAAGCACGAAACUUGCCCCGAGAUGAGUUCUCCCUGAGACUUUAAGUCUCCUGAAGGAACGUUAAAGACGAUGACGUUGAUAGGCCGGGUGUGUAAGCGCAGCGAUGCGUUGAGCUAACCGGUACUAAUGAACCGUGAGGCUUAACCUUACAACGCCGAAG